UCGUGGUGCUCAGCGUUGGGUUGAUGGUGGCGUACUGCCGCCGGUGAGAACUAGCAGGAUGAGGACACAAAGAGGGAGAUGGAGCGGCAAGACUACAAGAUCCCAGAUGCAGGUCGAGAUAAGAGAGAAAGGGCAUGUUUAGUUUGCACGCUAGGACAUGGGGAAGCUCAGCUCAGCCGUGGCCAUGAUGCACCUCACAAGGAGGUUCUUGGGGUAAUCACUUUUGCUGAAUGGCUCACCGACCCAUUGUUUCUGCGGCCUGUGAUGUUGACCAAGAAGCACAAAUGGAGACAAGUUCACCUCAUAGGGCCCUCGGAAAACUAAGAUUGCAGCUGCUGGCAGGCCUUUGAAUUUGACAUUUGGAAAGUAAAACUACAAGGGUAUUUAUAUUUGUUAAUGUGUAUACAAAGAUUUCUGUUCAGAUGUGCAUAGCUAUACCAUUACAGUGAGAUUUAUUGUGUAAAUGCCGUCCUGUAUCUUCGCAGAGUGUUGAAAUGAUGGUUGAUAAUUCAUAUAGGUGGCCUCAAGGCCUUAUUCGAGUUUAGUUUUUCUUAUGUAUAUGCUAACGUUAUAGGUGGCCUCAAGGCAUUAUACGCAUAGAAAUCUUCAUGCUGUUUUUAUUUAUAAUCUACAUUCUCUCAUCAGUUAAGUUAUAAUGUGUAGGUAAUUUUUUCUAUGAAUUUGUUGUCCUCUGAUGUGUGCAGAUUCCAGUCACAAUGAUGAGCUGUCUGAACAUGCCCGCAUGGAAAAAGUGACAUAGUUUGAGGAAACAUUGUGGUAAAGUCCCUUUGGGUCAUGUCGUUUGGUUUAUCUAAUUCUUUUAUUGAUUGUAUCUGGGUGCUUAACGAUGGGUCUUAGAGAUUAAUGGAGGGAAAAAGUGUAUGGAAUUAAUAGAUAGAAAUAGUUCUCAUGUAAUGGAAUCAAGGUACUGAAUAAGAGUUAUUUCUUGUCUGUCAUAGUGAUAUUGAGUUUUAAGUGUUCUCCAGAAAUUUUCUUUCUUGCCCCCUUAUUGUGUAUUUGCAGUUUUAGUCUUCAUUCCUUGCCUCCUUUCCUCAAAUUGCGAUGUUUCUAUGUUUGCACUAUACCUACCGAUGUCUGGUUCAGUGUGGGGGGAAAAGAAUUAUGUGGGAAAUUUAUGAAUUUUAGUUGCUGAUAAUAGACCAUUCUUUGGUAUUUAGUAGUUUAUGUCAAGA